UACGUAGGGUGCAAGCGUUGUCCGGAAUUAUUGGGCGUAAAGAGCUCGUAGGCGGUCUGUCGCGUCGGAUGUGAAAAUCCAGGGCUCAACCCUGGACCUGCAUUCGAUACGGGCAGACUAGAGUUCGGUAGGGGAGACUGGAAUUCCUGGUGUAGCGGUGAAAUGCGCAGAUAUCAGGAGGAACACCUAUGGCGAAGGCAGCUCGCUGGGACGUUACUGACGCUGAGACGCGAAAGCGUGGGGAGCAAACAGG
rnacentral:rRNA from 1 species